rnacentral:rRNA from 1 species
CUGCCCAAUGACUCUUAGUUCAAUGGCCGCGGUAUCUUGACCGUGCAAAGGUAGCAUAAUCACUUGCCCCUUAAUUAGGGGCUGGCAUGAAAGGACACACGAAAGCUUCCCUGUCUCACAAUAAUAAAUAAAAAUUAAUCUUUAAGUGAAAAAGCUUAAAUAAAAUUGCAGGACAAGAAGACCCCGUUGAGCUUUAUUCUCUAUAGACCAAUCUAAAUAUUUAUUAUAUCAUAAACCUAAAAAAGAAUUUAGUUGGGGUGACUAAGGAACAUCAUAAACUUCCUCUAUCUAUUUAGGGCUAUUCCCCAAAAAAAUUGACCCACAAACCGUGAUCAAAAAAAUAAGCUACCACAGGGAUAACAGGCUAAUCUUUCUUAAGAGCCCAAAUUGUCAGAAAGGAUUGGCACCUCGAUGUUGGCUUAGGGGCCCCUAAUGGUGCAGAAGCCAUAAAAGGUAG